GAGUGCUCAAGGCAUAUUUGCAGAUGGUGACGAGGAUGAUUUGAUGUCGUUUUAAAGGCCGGACAUCCAAGAGGAGGUCUGUUCUCUACAUGUGCAUGCACGUACACUUACACACACUCUCUGACUUGUAAGAUGCCCUUUGCAAGAGUCCAUUUGGGAAAUGCAGUGGGCCCACUGGAAGAAAUUCAAGGCCAUGGGCCAGCUACACCACGGAAGCCCUACACCCAGCCAAACGUGCUCACUGGCAAGUCAAACCCAAAAGCUGUCAUCAAAUUCUGCUUCCUGGCAGCCCUGAUCCAACAAUACUCUGAAAGACAAAAGAAGCAGAAACUCAAGUGAAGAUCACCAACGUGUCUUUUUGGGCAACUAGCAGAUUGAGCAGAGGGUCAGCACAGACACCAGCAGAGAAGAACAUUCUCCUGGCAGGACUCUGCCUCCAAAUUCGGCACCACUUCACAGGAUCUCAGCCUCACACCUUAUGGGAUUUAUUUUUUUAAAAAAGAUCCAACAUUUGUUCCUAAUUAUUCUUAGUAAAACUGCCUUUCUUGAUGUGGCACCCAUUACCUCAUUCAUUCAGUCACUCAUUCAUUCAUUCAAUGAAACCCCUGUCAUCCACGCUCUGGGCUCUUUCUACAGCCCCACGACAUGAUCAAGAACUCUGGAAAACAGGUUUGCUGAAAAAUCAACUCACAAAAGGAGAUUAAUUGGAAUAAAGGCAUACAGAUCAAUAUGCGCAUGGGGGAGAACCGUGGAGUGAUUACCCCACCAUCUGCAUUGAGCGCAAUCUGGGAUCUCAGGGGCUGACAGCAGAGAAGUUACCUGAAGGCGCAACAAGCAGUGGUCCCUGUAGGCAGAAGCUACCUGGUGCCCCAGUGAUGUGGGAGGCCCUCAGUUCCUGCGCUUCUUGCUGCCUGGGCACAUGUUCCCGGAGGAUGGCAGGACCUCCUGGCCUCUCCCCUGUCUACCCGCCAGAGCUCUGCUUCUUAAGAUAAGACCACCUCUUUCCUCCAGCCAAUGUGCUGCUCUUCUGACUUCAAAACACUUGCACUUCCAGGGCUCAACGUACAGUGAGUUCUCAAGGAUUCGGUGAAUAAAUGUACAAAUGUCUCCCGUUA